UAGCAAUAUGUGGCAUACGGCUCAGUAACACGUAGUCAACAUGCCCAGGGGACGUGGAUAACCUCGGGAAACUGAGGAUAAACCGCGAUAAGUCACUACUUCUGGAAUGGGUAAUGACUUAAAUCUAUAUGGCCCCUGGAUUGGACUGCGGCCGAUCAGGCUGUUGGUGAGGUAAUGGCCCACCAAACCUGUAACCGGUACGGGCUCUGAGAGGAGGAGCCCGGAGAUGGGCACUGAGACAAGGGCCCAGGCCCUAUGGGGCGCAGCAGGCGCGAAACCUCUGCAAUAGGCGAAAGCCUGACAGGGUUACUCUGAGUGAUUUCCGUUAAGGAGAUCUUUUGGCACCUCUAAAAAUGGUGCAGAAUAAGGGGUGGGCAAGUCUGGUGUCAGCCGCCGCGGUAAUACCAGCACCCCGAGUGGUCGGGACGUUUAUUGGGCCUAAAGCAUCCGUAGCCGGUUCUGCAAGUCUUCCGUUAAAUCCACCUGCUUAACAGAUGGGCUGCGGAAGAUACUAUAGAGCUAGGAGGCGGGAGAGGCAAGCGGUACUCGAUGGGUAGGGGUAAAAUCCGUUGAUCCAUUGAAGACCACCAGUGGCGAAGGCGGCUUGCCAGAACGCGCUCGACGGUGAGGGAUGAAAGCUGGGGGAGCAAACCGGAUUAGAUACCCGGGUAGUCCCAGCUGUAAACGAUGCA
rnacentral:rRNA from 1 species